rnacentral:rRNA from 1 species
AAGUCGAGCGGCAGCACGGGAAGCUUGCUUCCUGGUGGCGAGCGGCGGACGGGUGAGUAAUGCAUAGAAAUCUGCCCGGUAGUGGGGGAUAACCUGGGGAAACCCAGGCUAAUACCGCAUACGUCCUACGGGAGAAAGCAGGGGAUCUUCGGACCUUGCGCUAUCGGAUGAGUCUAUGUCGGAUUAGCUUGUUGGUGAGGUAAUGGCUCACCAAGGCGACGAUCCGUAGCUGGUCUGAGAGGAUGAUCAGCCACAUCGGGACUGAGACACGGCCCGAACUCCUACGGGAGGCAGCAGUGGGGAAUAUUGGACAAUGGGCGAAAGCCUGAUCCAGCCAUGCCGCGUGUGUGAAGAAGGCCUUCGGGUUGUAAAGCACUUUCAGUGGGGAAGAAAGCCUUGGGGCUAAUACCCUCGAGGAAGGACAUCACCCACAGAAGAAGCACCGGCUAACUCCGUGCCAGCAGCCGCGGUAAUACGGAGGGUGCGAGCGUUAAUCGGAAUUACUGGGCGUAAAGCGCGCGUAGGCGGUCUGAUAAGCCGGUUGUGAAAGCCCCGGGCUCAACCUGGGAACGGCAUCCGGAACUGUCAGGCUAGAGUGCAGGAGAGGAAGGUAGAAUUCCCGGUGUAGCGGUGAAAUGCGUAGAGAUCGGGAGGAAUACCAGUGGCGAAGGCGGCCUUCUGGACUGACACUGACGCUGAGGUGCGAAAGCGUGGGUAGCAAACAGGAUUAGAUACCCUGGUAGUCCACGCCGUAAACGAUGUCGACUAGCCGUUGGGGGUCCUUGAGACCUUUUGUGGCGCAGUUAACGCGAUAAGUCGACCGCCUGGGGAGUACGGGCCGCAAGGUUAAAAACUCAAAUGAAUUGACGGGGGCCCGCACAAGCGGUGGAGCAUGUGGUUUAAUUCGAUGCAACGCGAAGAACCUUACCUACCCUUGACAUCGUGCGAACUUUCCAGAAAUGGAUUGGUGCCUUCGGGAACGCACAGACAGGUGCUGCAUGGCUGUCGUCAGCUCGUGUUGUGAAAUGUUGGGUUAAGUCCCGUAACGAGCGCAACCCUUGUCCUUAUUUGCCAGCGAGUAAUGUCGGGAACUCUAAGGAGACUGCCGGUGACAAACCGGAGGAAGGUGGGGACGACGUCAAGUCAUCAUGGCCCUUACGGGUAGGGCUACACACGUGCUACAAUGGCCGGUACAAAGGGUUGCGAAGCCGCGAGGUGGAGCUAAUCCCGAAAAGCUGGUCUCAGUCCGGAUCGGAGUCUGCAACUCGACUCCGUGAAGUCGGAAUCGCUAGUAAUCGUGAAUCAGAAUGUCACGGUGAAUACGUUCCCGGGCCUUGUACACACCGCCCGUCACACCAUGGGAGUGGACUGCACCAGAAGUGGUUAGCCUAACUUCGGAGGGCGAUCACCACGGUGUGGUUCAUGACUGGGGUGAAG